rnacentral:rRNA from 1 species
AGGGAAUAUUGGACAAUGGGGGCAACCCUGAUCCAGCCAUGCCGCGUGAGUGAAGAAGGCCCUCGGGUUGUAAAGCUCUUUUGUCCGGAAAGAAAAGCAUUCGGUGAAUACCCGGAUGUUCUGACGGUACCGGAAGAAUAAGCACCGGCUAACUUCGUGCCAGCAGCCGCGGUAAUACGAAGGGUGCAAGCGUUACUCGGAAUUACUGGGCGUAAAGCGUGCGUAGGUGGUUGUUUAAGUCUGAUGUGAAAGCCCUGGGCUCAACCUGGGCAUGGCAUUGGAAACUGGGCAGCUAGAGUGCGGUAGAGGGUAGUGGAAUUCCCGGUGUAGCAGUGCAAUGCGUAGAGAUCGGGAGGAACAUCUGUGGCGAAGGCGACUGCCUGGACCAGCACUGACACUGAGGCACGAAAGCGUGG